CAAGUCGAACGGGAGUUUGUUUAUAGCAAUAUGAGUGAACUCUAGUGGCGAAAGGGUGCGUAACACGUGGCUACCUACCUCGAAGUUGGGGAUAGCUCGGCGAAAGCCGGAUUAAUACCGAAUGUGACCGUAAGGUCAAAGUUGGGGAUCGUAAGACCUGACGCUUUGAGAUGGGGCUGCGGCCUAUCAGGUAGUUGGCGGGGUAAUGGCCCACCAAGCCUAAGACGGGUAGCUGGUCUGAGAGGACGACCAGCCACACUGGAACUGAGACACGGUCCAGACACCUACGGGUGGCAGCAGUCGAGGAUUUUUCUCAAUGGGGGAAACCCUGAAGGAGCGACGCCGCGUGAGGGAUGAAGGUCUUCGGAUUGUAAACCUCUGUCAUCUGGGAACAAUGUAAUCUACCUAACACGUGGAUUAUUGAUAGUACCGGAAGAGGAAGCAGUGGCUAACUCUGUGCCAGCAGCCGCGGUAAUACAGAGACUGCAAACGUUGUUCGGAUUCAUUGGGCGUAAAGGGUGCGCAGGCGGUGUGCUAAGUCGGAUGUGAAAUCUCACAGCCUAACUGUGAUAGGUCAUUCGAAACUGGCAUGCUAGAGGACUGGAGAGGAGACUGGAAUGGUCGGUGUAGCGGUGAAAUGCGUAGAGAUCGACCAGAACACCGGUGGCGAAGGCGGGUCUCUGGACAGUUCCUGACGCUCAGGCACGAAAGCCAGGGGAGCAAACGGGAUUAGAUACCCCGGUAGUCCUGGCCCUAAACGGUGUUCACUUGGUGUGCGGGGAGUCGA
rnacentral:rRNA from 1 species